GACAGAGGCCUCAAGCGUUUAGGCGGAAUCACUGGGCGUAAAGGGUGCGUAGGCGGGUUUUUAAGUCAGGGGUGAAAUCCUGGAGCUCAACUCCAGAACUGCCUUUGAUACUGAAGAUCUUGAGUCCGGGAGAGGUGAGUGGAACUGCGAGUGUAGAGGUGAAAUUCGUAGAUAUUCGCAAGAACACCAGUGGCGAAGGCGGCUCACUGGCCCGGUACUGACGCUGAGGUGCGAAAGCGUGGGGAGCAAACAGG
rnacentral:rRNA from 1 species